rnacentral:rRNA from 1 species
UACGAAGGGGGCUAGCGUUGCUCGGAAUCACUGGGCGUAAAGCGCACGUAGGCGGAUUGCUAAGUCGAACGUGAAAUCCCCGGGCUCAACCCGGGAACUGCGUCCGAUACUGGAAGGCUUGAAUCCGGGAGAGGGAUGCGGAAUUCCAGGUGUAGCGGUGAAAUGCGUAGAUAUCUGGAGGAACACCGGUGGCGAAGGCGGCAUCCUGGACCGGCAUUGACGCUGAGGCGCGAAAGCCAGGGGAGCAAACGGG